CAAAGCCUUAGUAGCCUUCUUAGUGUUUGAAUAAACACCUUUGCUUACAAGACUCUGCUGGCUGGUGCUGCAGAGGACCUACUCUAUAAGGUGUGUGCAUGUCUCUGUCCUAUUCACAUUGCCUCUCAAGCAUAGCCUAUUUGCUCAACUGUAAAUUGUAAUGCAUGGUCAUCAAUGCAUUUCUCAACAUGUGAAAUUAUUGAAUACCAUGGUGUCUGGAAAGACAAAGUCUCCCCCUGCUCUUCCUUCUUCAAGAUGUGCUAUGAGUUCUCUUUGCAUACUGAUUCAGACUAACAUGGCUAUAUCUUCGAAUUCUACCUUCAGUCAACUCUAUGUUGGAAACAUGCAAUGUUUUGUACUUUAUAGUAUAGUUUUUCAUUUUAUGUUUACAUUUUCUCAUAAAUAAACUAUAUAAAAUAAAAUUUGAUUUUUUAAAAACAGUAGGAUAAAAAUAAAAUGUGAU